CUUGGUCAUUUAGAGGAAGUAAAAGUCGUAACAAGGUUUCCGUAGGUGAACCUGCGGAAGGAUCAUUACUGAGUGAGGGCCCUCUGGGUCCAACCUCCCACCCGUGUUUAUUGUACCUUGUUGCUUCGGCGCGCCCGCCUCACGGCCGCCGGGGGGCUUCUGCCCCCGGGUCCGCGCGCACCGGAGACACCAUUGAACUCUGUCUGAAGAUUGCAGUCUGAGCAUAAACUAAAUAAGUUAAAACUUUCAACAACGGAUCUCUUGGUUCCGGCAUCGAUGAAGAACGCAGCGAAAUGCGAUAACUAAUGUGAAUUGCAGAAUUCAGUGAAUCAUCGAGUCUUUGAACGCACAUUGCGCCCCCUGGUAUUCCGGGGGGCAUGCCUGUCCGAGCGUCAUUGCUGCCCUCAAGCACGGCUUGUGUGUUGGGCUCCGUCCCCCCGGGGACGGGUCCGAAAGGCAGCGGCGGCACCGAGUCCGGUCCUCGAGCGUAUGGGGCUUUGUCACCCGCUCUGUAGGCCCGGCCGGCGCCAGCCGACAACCAAUCAUCCUUUUCAGGUUGACCUCGGAUCAGGUAGGGAUACCCGCUGAACUUAAGCAUAUCAAUAAGCGGAGGAAAAGAAACCAACAGGGAUUGCCUCAGUAACGGCGAGUGAAGCGGCAAGAGCUCAAAUUUGAAAGCUGGCUCCUUCGGGGUCCGCAUUGUAAUUUGCAGAGGAUGUUUCGGGAGCAGCCCCCAUCUAAGUGUCCUGGAACGGACCGUCAUAGAGGGUGAGAAUCCCGUAUGGGAUGGGGUGUCUGCGCCCAUGUGAAACUCCUUCGACGAGUCGAGUUGUUUGGGAAUGCAGCUCUAAAUGGGUGGUAAAUUUCAUCUAAAGCUAAAUAUUGGCCGGAGACCGAUAGCGCACAAGUAGAGUGAUCGAAAGAUGAAAAGCACUUUGAAAAGAGAGUUAAAAAGCACGUGAAAUUGUUGAAAGGGAAGCGCUUGCGAUCAGACUCGCCUUGGGGGUUCAGCCGGCAUUCGUGCCGGUGUACUUCCCCCAGGGCGGGCCAGCGUCGGUUUGGGUGGCCGGUCAAAGGCCCUUGGAAUGUAACGCCUCUCGGGGCGUCUUAUAGCCAAGGGUGCCAUGCGGCCUACCUGGACCGAGGAACGCGCUUCGGCUCGGACGCUGGCAUAAUGGUCGUAAGCGACCCGUCUUGAAACACGGACC
rnacentral:rRNA from 1 species